ACUCCUACGGGAGGCAGCAGUGGGGAAUAUUGGUCAAUGGACCAAAAGUCUGAUCCAGCAAUUCUGUGUGCACGAUGAAGUUUUUCGGAAUGUAAAGUGCUUUCAGUUGGGCCGAAGUAAGUGACGGUACCAACAGAAGAAGCGACGGCUAAAUACGUGCCAGCAGCCGCGGUAAU
rnacentral:rRNA from 1 species